GGCUACACAAGUAGUGAAAAUAAACUAUGGAAGCAACAAGAGUAUCAAGAUUCAAGAACAAGAACAAGACAUAACCUCAAAUCAGUUAACUUAAGUGUGCUGAUAUUUUGUUUAGUGUGUGUCACUGUUAGUUUAGAGUUGUUAUUUUUGUGACUGGGUAUUGGCAUAACCUACACCGAACAUCUUUUCACGUUUUGAUCCUUGGAGUAUUUGAUAACUCUGCAGCUUUGGUGGAAUUUAUUAUUUGGUAGCAGUGAAUAAUUUGCCUACGGUACCAAUUCUCCCGAGUGACAAAGUGGCUGUAAGGAGGAAUAAAUUUUUCUUUUGCAAUCUGCAUCUGAAGCCAGCUAUCUUGCAGGCAGAACCGGUACGCAAGAACACUAGGAUCGUGGUGUAAUGGAAAUAUAUGUUGUUGCUACUAUAAUCAAGAAUUGGCUUCGCCCAGCAAAGUUUAGGAUUGAUGCAAGGAACAAUAGAAAACUCAAGAAGGCCAUUUGGGAGAUGAAGAAGACCAGAAUUAUUUUUUUUGUAAAUUGUACAUAUCUUUUUUAUAUUUGUGUUUAAAUAAUUUUUAAUUAAACUUAUUUUAUC